GAGUGCAGAAGAGGAGAGUGGAAUUCCACGUGUAGCGGUGAAAUGCGUAGAGAUGUGGAGGAACACCAGUGGCGAAGGCGACUCUCUGGUCUGUAACUGACGCUGAGGAGCGAAAGCGUGGGGAGCGAACAGGAUUAGAUACCCUGGUAGUCCACGCCGUAAACGAUGAGUGCUAAGUGUUAGGGGGUUUCCGCCCCUUAGUGCUGCAGCUAACGCAUUAAGCACUCCGCCUGGGGAGUACGGUCGCAAGACUGAAACUCAAAGGAAUUGACGGGGGCCCGCACAAGCGGUGGAGCAUGUGGUUUAAUUCGAAGCAACGCGAAGAACCUUACCAGGUCUUGACAUCCUCUGACAAUCCUAGAGAUAGGACGUCCCCUUCGGGGGCAGAGUGACAGGUGGUGCAUGGUUGUCGUCAGCUCGUGUCGUGAGAUGUUGGGUUAAGUCCCGCAACGAGCGCAACCCUUGAUCUUAGUUGCCAGCAUUCAGUUGGGCACUCUAAGGUGACUGCCGGUGACAAACCGGAGGAAGGUGGGGAUGACGUCAAAUCAUCAUGCCCCUUAUGACCUGGGCUACACACGUGCUACAAUGGACAGAACAAAGGGCAGCGAAACCGCGAGGUUAAGCCAAUCCCACAAAUCUGUUCUCAGUUCGGAUGCGCAGUCUGCAACUCGACUGCGUGAAGCUGGAAUCGCUAGUAAUCGC
rnacentral:rRNA from 1 species